AUCACUUCUCUGCCUUUUGCCUAACAUAAAGUAUAUAAUAUCUGUUCUUUAAAGUUUAAUAUCUUGUAUGUCCUCUGUGCAAGGACAAUAAAUUAAAUGGAGUUUUGGAGCUUGGAGAUGAUAUAAAAUUUGUUUCAAGCACUAUAUACAGAGAUCUGACAUUUGCAUAUCCUCUAGGACUGGUGUCUACUCU